rnacentral:rRNA from 1 species
GAUGAACGCUGGCGGCGUGCCUAAUACAUGCAAGUCGAGCGAACGGACGAGAAGCUUGCUUCUCUGAUGUUAGCGGCGGACGGGUGAGUAACACGUGGAUAACCUACCUAUAAGACUGGGAUAACUUCGGGAGACCGGAGCUAAUACCGGAUAAUAUUUUGAACCGCAUGGUUCAAAAGUGAAAGACGGUCUUGCUGUCACUUAUAGAUGGAUCCGCGCUGCAUUAGCUAGUUGGUAAGGUAACGGCUUACCAAGGCAACGAUGCAUAGCCGACCUGAGAGGGUGAUCGGCCACACUGGAACUGAGAAACGGUCCAGACUCCUACGGGAGGCAGCAGUAGGGAAUCUUCCGCAAUGGGCGAAAGCCUGACGGAGCAACGCCGCGUGAGUGAUGAAGGUCUUCGGAUCGUAAAACUCUGUUAUUAGGGAAGAACAUAUGUGUAAGUAACUGUGCACAUCUUGACGGUACCUAAUCAGAAAGCCACGGCUAACUACGUG